AUCUUAACACGUCGCUUCGUUCUCAACCGUCAGAUCUUAAGACCAUUGGAGACGCCCGAAAUUUAUCAGUUCAGUCGCAGUGCGGUGGCGGUCGAUGAGAUGCGAAGGAUGGAUUGCAACAAGCCAAUCACCAAGGCUUCAUCUCUGAGAUGGAAAAUUCUCCGUCAAGCGCUUAUUCCUCGAUCUUCCUCCUGCAAUGAUGAUCAGUCUGAAAUGGAUGCGAAGCGUAUUUCUAGGAGGACUACGAAUGGCUUCAAUUUGAUUCCCUCGUUAAUCACGGAUGAUAUUGGAGACGAAGGCACGGACGGUUUUUCUGUCUCGCGAAGCUCCGAUCACCGUCGCGAUCGUCGCGUGUGCUACACAUUGCCUAUCGAUGGAGCUCCCAAACUUUUCCUCAAGCAAAGAAUGGACGACGUUGCUGACCUUGAUGACUUCAAGAUCUGUAAUAAAUAUGACAUUGACAACACCGGGCUUGUUUGUCAUUGGCCAUCAGAAGAUGUUCUUGCUUACUUCUGUUUGUUGCAUUCGGACCUAUUUAGAUGUAAGAGAGUUAUUGAGCUUGGAUCUGGCUAUGGCUUGGCUGGAUUAGUUGUUGCUGCAAGUACAGAAGCAUCAGAAGUUGUUAUCACAGAUGGAAAUCCUCAAGUAGUUGAAUAUAUUCAGCACAAUAUAGCAAUUAACUCUAAAGCAUUUGGUGGCACCAGAGUAGAUUCUUUGACAUUGCAUUGGAAUCAGGAAGAGGUUUCAAAUAUUUCCGGCAGUUUUGAUCUCAUUAUUGCCAGUGACUGCACUUUUUUUAAAGAUUACCAUAGAGGACUUGCUAGAAUGGUCAUGUCCUUGUUGAAAAAAGUAGAGUCAUCAGAAGCUAUAUUUAUUAGCCCCCGAAGAGGUGACUCACUCGUGAAGUUUCUAGAGGAAAUCAAAGCCAAUGGUUUGCAUUUCAGUGUGAUAGAGGAGUAUGAUGCUGAAGUUUGGAAACGACACGAGAAAUUCUCUAAUGGUGAUGACUCCUGGCCUGGAUAUGAAAAGGAUCAUUGCUAUCCAUUAUUGGUCAGAAUUACUCUCUGAACUCUUAUUGCCCAUUACAUUUCCACCUCCGCGAAUCAUUUAGUCACCAAGAAGUAAUCUUUUCAUCUACCCAAUUUGAUUUAUAGAAUUGCUAGCUGAAAAUAUAAGUCAUAUUUGGUAGUUUCCAUGCAUUAGAGUAAACAAAGGUCUUCUGUUCUGUCAAAAGGAAGAUGGCGAUGAAGAACAAUGGCAACAGGAGGCCCUCCCGUUUCUGUGUUAGGUGCUUAUAAGCAGCUUGGGAUGGCCUGUAGGUGUCUCUUGUCCGCCAUUCUCAGCACAUGGCCACAUAGUCUUUGCUUUCAGCAGGUACCCAUGGAGUUGUUCCAAAAACCAUGGCUCUUUAUAAUUCUUUUGGGUUCUGGUCACACCUAGUAGUCGGAUCUUGGCACCUACCAAUCUAUAUGAUGGUUUCUUUAGCCGGUGCCGUAGUUCCUUUCUGGAUCAAAGAUCCAAUACUCAACGUGCUACGGGGCCACUGCUGUUAAUUACGGUAGCUGGCUU